AUUGAACGCUGGCGGAAUGCUUUACACAUGCAAGUCGAACGGUAGAGGGGGCAACCCCUCGAGAGUGGCGAACGGGUGAGUAAUAUAUCGGAACGUGCCCAGUCGGGGGGGAUAACGUAGCGAAAGUUACGCUAAUACCGCAUACGAUCUAAGGAUGAAAGCGGGGGAUCGCAAGACCUCGCGCGAUUGGAGCGGCCGAUAUCAGAUUAGGUAGUUGGUGGGGUAAAGGCUCGCCAAGCCAACGAUCUGUAGCUGGUCUGAGAGGACGACCAGCCACACUGGAACUGAGACACGGUCCAGACUCCUACGGGAGGCAGCAGUGGGGAAUUUUGGACAAUGGACGCAAGUCUGAUCCAGCCAUUCCGCGUGCAGGAUGAAGGCCCUCGGGUUGUAAACUGCUUUUGUACGGAACGAAAAGGUCUCUCUUAAUACGGGGGACUCAUGACGGUACCGUAAGAAUAAGCACCGGCUAACUACGUGCCAGCCGCCGCAGUAAGAC
rnacentral:rRNA from 1 species